AUUGCACCUACCGAAGACUAUCAAACUCCGAAUGCCGUCAUCUUAUACUUGGGAGUCAGACUGUGGGGGAUAAGAUUCAUAGUCGAAAGGGCAACAGCCCAGAUCGUCAGCUAAGGUCCCUAAAUGUAAGUUAAGUGGUAAAGGAUGUGGGAUUGCACAGACAACCAGGAUGUUGGCUUAGAAGCAGCCACUCAUUCAAAGAGUGCGUAAUAGCUCACUGGUCGAGUGAUCCUGCGCCGAAGAUUUCCGGGGCUAAAACUUACUACCGAAGCUACGGCAUCAGUAAUGAUGGGUAGGGGAGCUUCCCAUACGGGUUGAAGCAUGACCGUAAGGACAUGUGGACAG
rnacentral:rRNA from 1 species